UCGGUUCCGUACGAUCACGGAAGUUAAGCAACGUCGAGCCAGCUCAGUGCCUAGAUGGGUGACCGUUUGGGAAUGCCAGGAGCUGCAAG